ensembl:lncRNA
UGGAACUUUAUGCAAAUACUCAGCGACAUCUCGUUACUGUUGGCCAAUCGAAGCUCAUUAGUUUCCAGCCCCUUCUGGAUUGUCUGUUGAUACCUAGUCUGCUUGCUACCACCAAAGGUAAUUUACUAUUGAGCCGACAGAUGUAUCAUUUAUGGAAUGCGGUCUCAGCAAACGUGGGAACAUUGCCUUUAAUGUUUUUAUUAUUUAACCUUUGUUUAACUAGGCAAGUCAGUUAAGAACAAAUUAUUAUUUACAAUAACGGCCUACCCCGGCCAAACCCUAACCCGGACGAGGCUGGGCCAAUUGUGUGCCGCCCUAUGGGACUCCCAAUCACGGCCAGUUGUGAUACAGCCUGGAAUCGAACCGCGGUCUGUAGUGACGCCUCUAGACCGCUGCGCCACUCGAGAGCUUAAGAGAGAUCACUUUAAAGUCAUUUGCCUUGUUGCAAAAGUUGACCCAUCACUUUAGAGUGGAUUGCAGUCAAGAAGAUUCAGUUGAAAUUUAGACCGCUGUGCCACUCGGGAGCCCAAAGGGUGCAUAGCCGACAAGGUGCGAUCUGCUAGAAUCCAGGGGGGAAUCCUAUGAAGCAAGCUAGAUCUACUCAGGGUUUUCUAAAGCUAAUCAGCUUCAAUUUAGCUUCGCAUUUCAUAGGCUUCGCCCGUACUAUGACGGUGGAUAUUGCUCCUCCGUCUGCUGCUAACUCUAGCAGGCUUGUAACUACGCGUGCAUGUAUAGCACAUGGUUAGUCGGACGAUAAAACUCUUCAGUGACUUAAUACUGAAACGUCAAUAUAUGGGCGAGUAAGUGCCACAUUUUCAUUUGUGCUGAAAUCAAAAUUAAAUCAUAUUUUUCUUGCAAAUUCAGCAAGCUAUGGCGUGAAAUAGGAUUUUCGAAGUGCCUUCUGUAUUUUAUGAUUGUUAAUGCCGACUUUGGUUUGCUUUGGUGUGCUUAUCAAUGCACAAACACAUUUCCCACCACUCUGGUCGAUAAAAUAAUUGUAUUAAGUCAUACAAAAGUGUUACUGUGCGUGAAGUUUAAAAUGCUUUGUGUCAUUACUAAAUGGGUAAUGUGAUAUAUUUUAACAUUUUUAUUUUUUAACACAGACAUUUUAAUAAAAUAUUUAAUCAGUUGUCUUCCUCAAAUGAAGGAGGGAAUCUGAUUUCAUUGGUCCUCAACUCGUGGCUCAGUCAUUUCAUUCAGGGUAAGUGGCAUUGGCCGUGAGUUGCUCUUCCCUGGAGCAGGUUAUAGUUCUGAUGGAUUCGUUGCAUAUAAAUUUACCAGGCUUAAAAGGUUAUCAGUGGUGUACGGGAGGCCCUGAAGAGCCCGACCUCAGUCGAAUACCUCUCUAUUCUGAUGUAGCAGCUGUCACUUCAGGACCUACAGAGCCUAGUCUAGCUACUCACAACCAUAGCCAUCCAGUAUCCUCUACUAUAUACUACUUUCUUUACUGUUACAGCCAAAUCUUUACAUGUUUCCUAUCAGAACGGCAAGGGCUGGAGGUAAUCGCGCUUCUGAUAUCGUUGAUUUACUUUUAUUUGAAAUCACUAUUGGAGAACCUUGCCUUGCCUUUUUUGUAUUACUAUGGUUUGGUUGAUUUUUCAGUUUUAUUGAUACAACUAUUGAGAAUUGAGAGAAAUUACUUUUCAUCUUCUCUCAGGAUAUGGACAGUGCUUGUUGAGGCUUUAGUGCUCUGAAAUGAAGACGGUAAUUUCCAAGAAGAUUGUGCAGAUGUACUGUAUCAUCGAAUAGGCUUGUUAUUACACAGGUGCAUAGUGUACAGCUUCAUGGCGGAAAUGUAUAGUCGUAUUAUGUCUCUCCUAAUUUUCAAACAAACACUGAUAUACUGAAUCUGAUGAUACUGUAAAUGUCUAAAUCAAAUCUUCAAAGUUACAAGCCUCCCAAUGUUUAACCCCAUGCUUCUAUAAAACCAAAUAAAUCACACUCAGGUUUUCCACUGUGUAUAAAAAUGUCAUGUGAUCGACUAUAUUGCCAUGCUGGAAGAGGAUGGUGCAAUAAAUGUGUCGCUGUUUAUCCCGGGUUCCUUCACGGGAAGUUUAUGGUGUUGUAAUCUCGUUUGUUCCAAGUGUGACAAGAAAGUUGUGUCUGAAAAUAUUUGUUUUGGACCAGGUGGCUCGCGCGAAUUGAAACAUUAUCUGAGGAGCAUUUUGGAGGGGAUAAAAAUAUUUUAUCGUGAUUCUUUAUGGAUAUUUUGUGUAUUUUAUUAUUCAAACAUUUUAGGACGAUACGGUUACAGAUAUAACCAUAGUAUAUUAUUUCUAAAGCUUUUCGCUUGAAGCCAAUAACAUGUUAAUUUUGUUGGUGCGAGUUUUCAUUUUUUCCUUGUUCAUUUAAACAUUUGUGUAAUUAAAAUAUUGUGCAAUGGAAUUGUGUC